AUUAAACGCUGGCGGCAUGCCUUACACAUGCAAGUCGAACGGCAGCACGGGGGCAACCCUGGUGGCGAGUGGCGGACGGGUGAGUAAAGCAUCGGAACGUAUCCUGGAGUGGGGGGAUAACGUAGCGAAAGUUACGCUAAUACCGCAUAUUCUGUGAGCAGGAAAGCAGGGGAUCGCAAGACCUUGCGCUCUGGGAGCGGCCGAUGUCGGAUUAGCUAGUUGGUGGGGUAAAGGCCUACCAAGGCGACGAUCCGUAGCGGGUCUGAGAGGAUGAUCCGCCACACUGGGACUGAGACACGGCCCAGACUCCUACGGGAGGCAGCAGUGGGGAAUUUUGGACAAUGGGCGCAAGCCUGAUCCAGCCAUGCCGCGUGAGUGAAGAAGGCCUUC
rnacentral:rRNA from 1 species